GAAAUGCGAUACGUGAUGUGAAUUGCAGAAUCUCGUGAAUCAUCUAAUCUUUGAACGCACAUUGCACUCUAGCUUGCUAGAGUAUGCCUGUUUGAGAAUCUAAUGUAUUCAUUUCCCAAUUAACUUGUUAAACGGGAAGAUCUGGAGCGUCUAUCUUAGUGCUCUGAAUUUCAUUAGUCUGCGCUGAAUAAAGUAAUGACGGCCUGCAAACGCUGCCGAAAGGUAUAUGUAUGAAACCUUGGUUUCUCAUUUUGCCAAAUACGCAGUAGUAGUGCCCAGCUUUAGGAAGCAAGGAUCCAACUAUAAGACACUUGUGUCUGAACCAUGGUCUCAAAUCAGGUAGGACUACCCGCUGAACUUAA
rnacentral:misc_RNA from 1 species